CGGCGGGCUUACACAUGCAGUCGAACGAGAACGGGUAUUAGCUUGCUAAUACUGUCAGCUAAGUGGCGCACGGGUGAGUAAUAUAUAGGUAACGUGCCUUCGAGAAGGGGAUAACAAUUGGAAACGAUUGCUAAUACCCUAUAUGCCUUUAAGUCCUAAGACUGCAAGGGAAAUAUUUAUAGCUCGAAGAUCGGCCUGUACAGUAUCAGUUAGUUGGUGAGGUAAUGGCUCACCAAGACAAUGACGCUUAACUGGUUUGAGAGGAUGAUCAGUCACACUGGAACUGAGACACGGUCCAGACUCCUACGGGAGGCAGCAGUGGGGAAUAUUGCACAAUGGAGGAAACUCUGAUGCAGCAACGCCGCGUGGAGGAUGACACAUUUCGGUGCGUAAACUCCUUUUAUAUAGGAAGAUAAUGACGGUACUAUAUGAAUAAGCACCGGCUAACUCCGUGCCAGCAGCCGCGGUAAUACGGAGGGUGCAAGCGUUACUCGGAAUCACUGGGCGUAAAGAGCGUGUAGGCGGAUAGUUAAGUUUGAAGUGAAAUCCUAUGGCUCAACCAUAGAACUGCUUUGAAAACUGAUUAUCUAGAAUAUGGGAGAGGUAGAUGGAAUUUCUGGUGUAGGGGUAAAAUCCGUAGAGAUCAGAAGGAAUACCGAUUGCGAAGGCGAUCUACUGGAACAUUAUUGACGCUGAGACGCGAAAGCGUGGGGGAGCAAACAGGAUUAGAUACCCUGGUAGUCCACGCCCUAAACGAUGUACACUAGUUGUUGUGAGGCUA
rnacentral:rRNA from 1 species